AUAGUGACCCCCAUUUGAAAGCUGGAAAGAGUCAGAAGAAGAAGGAGUGGAGAAGAGAAAGCUCUGUCAAAUAAAACAUACUCAACUCAGAUGAAAAACGUAAGAGGACUCUGGUGUUUAAAGGAAUUUCAUUCAAUACCGAUUCCUAGAACCACAUGAUUGCAAAGGAGAGGUCCGUGAUGAAACCGCUACCUGACCUGUAUUAAGGACUGCCAAGGCGAAACCUGCAAGAGCAAGAAAAGCUUCUACGAUCCUUGCACCUUCCAAGUGAUCUGCCAGCUCCACAGAGACUUGACCAUCUGAAACCACCUAAACCACGCCAGAGAGAAGAAUAAACCAACCCUGGUACUCAGGGAAGGUUAUUAACCUUACUACUAUGAUAAUUAUUGUUGCUCAUGUAAUCCAAUGGGAGGCCAAUUUGUCAGUUUGAAUUUGUGAAUUUUAGUGAGUUGUUUUAUUUUGAAUAAACACAAGAUUUUACCAAACUCCUAUGUUUGCUUACCUAUUAAACAACUCAAAUAAAAAUCUACAAAAUUUGAAUAAAA